GACGUAGGUGGCGAACGUUAUCCGGAAUUAUUGGGCGUAAAGGAUGCGUAGAUGGUGUAGUAAGUUAUCGGUGGCAAAUCGAGGCUCAACCUCGUGGAAGUCGGUAAUACUGCUAUGCUAGAGGAUAGGAGAGGUUAACGGAACUCCCUGUGGAGCGGUGAAAUGCGUAGAUAUAGGGAAGAACACCAAUCAGGCGAAGGCAGUUAACUAUUCUAUUCCCUGACAUUGAGGCA
rnacentral:rRNA from 1 species